rnacentral:rRNA from 1 species
UAGGGAAUCUUCCGCAAUGGGCGAAAGCCUGACGGAGCAACGCCGCGUGAGUGAUGAAGGUCUUCGGAUCGUAAAACUCUGUUAUUAGGGAAGAACAAAUGUGUAAGUAACUAUGCACGUCUUGACGGUACCUAAUCAGAAAGCCACGGCUAACUACGUGCCAGCAGCCGCGGUAAUACGUAGGUGGCAAGCGUUAUCCGGAAUUAUUGGGCGUAAAGCGCGCGUAGGCGGUUUUUUAAGUCUGAUGUGAAGGCCCACGGCUCAACCGUGGAGGGUCAUUGGAAACUGGAAAACUUGAGUGCAGAAGAGGAAAGUGGAAUUCCAUGUGUAGCGGUGAAAUGCGCAGAGAUAUGGAGGAACACCAGUGGCGAAGGCGACUUUCUGGUCUGUAACUGACGCUGAUGUGCGAAAGCGUGGGGAUCAAGCAGG